rnacentral:sRNA from 1 species
GCCGGGCGUGGUGGUGCAUGCCCAUAAUCCCAUCAACUCUGGAGGCUGUGGCAGGAGGAUCGCGAGUUCAAAGCCAGCCUCAGCAACUU